rnacentral:rRNA from 1 species
AUUGAACGCUGGCGGCAGGCCUAACACAUGCAAGUCGAGCGAGCGGCGGACGGGUGAGUAAUGUCUGGGAAACUGCCUGAUGGAGGGGGAUAACUACUGGAAACGGUAGCUAAUACCGCAUACCAUCAGAUGUGCCCCGAUGGGAUUAGCUAGGAGUUGGGGUAACGGCCCACCUAGGCGACGAUCCCUAGCUGGUCUGGGAGGAUGACCAGCCAACCUGGAACUGAGACACGGUCCAGGCUCCGUCGGGAGGCAUCAGUGGGGAAUAUUGCACAAUGGGCGAAAGCCUGAUGCAGCCAUGCCGCGUGUGUGAAGAAGGCCUUCGGGUUGUAAAGCACUUUCAGCGGGGAGGCGUUACCCGCAGAAGAAGCACCGGCUAACUCCGUGCCAGCAGCCGCGGUAAUAC